rnacentral:rRNA from 1 species
UGCGAUAUGAGCGGUUCGAUGCUCGUGACAUCGCAAGAAGUCCACUAAACCUUAUUAUUUAGAGGAAGGAGAAGUCGUAACAAUGUUUCCAUAGUUAAACCUAUGGAAGGAUCAUUG